rfam:Astyanax mexicanus Tnplaced_Scaffold4062, whole genome shotgun sequence.
GUCAGAAUGGCCGAGCGGUCUAAGGCGCCAGACUCAAGGUUGUGCACCUUCUCCAAAACAGAGAGAUUUCUGGUCUCCGAAUGGAGGCGUGGGUUCAAAUCCCACUUCUGACA